UGUCUCCACCCGAGACUCAGUGAAAUCGAAUUCGCCGUGAAGAUGCGGUGUACCCGCGGCUAGACGGAAAGACCCCGUGAACCUUUACUACAGCUUGGCACUGAACAUUGAACCUACAUGUGUAGGAUAGGUGGGAGGCUUUGAAGCGAUGACGCCAGUUGUCGUGGAGCCGUCCUUGAAAUACCACCCUUGUAUGUUUGAUGUUCUAACGCAGGGCCCUGAAUCGGGCUCGCGGACAGUGCCUGGUGGGUAGUUUGACUGGGGCGGUCUCCUCCCAAAGAGUAACGGAGGAGCACGAAGGUUGGCUAAU
rnacentral:rRNA from 1 species